GAUGAACGCUGGCGGCGUGCUUAACACAUGCAAGUCGAACGGAAAGGCCGAAGCUUGCUUCGGUACUCGAGUGGCGAACGGGUGAGUAACACGUGGGUGAUCUGCCCUGUACUUCGGGAUAAGCUUGGGAAACUGGGUCUAAUACCGGAUAUGUCGCUCUCUUGGAUGGGGUUGUGGAGAGCUUUUGCGGUGUGGGAUGAGCUCGCGGCGUAUCAGCUUGUUGGUGGGGUGAUGGUCUACCACGGCGUCGACGGGUAGCCGGCCUGAGAGGGGGUAAGGCGACAUUGGGAGUGAGAGACGGGCCAGACUCCUACGGGGGGCAGUAGUGGGGGAUAUUGCACAAUGGGGGCAAGCCUGAUGCAGAGACGCCGCGUGGGGGAGGAGGGCGUCCGGGUUGUAAACUCCUUUUGCAAUCGACAAAGCCUGUUGGUGACGGUAGGUGGAGAAGAAGCACCGGCUAACUACGUG
rnacentral:rRNA from 1 species